rnacentral:lncRNA from 1 species
CAGGUUUCCCUUGAAAAUACAUUCUUAUACAUUCUUCAGUUUUAAUGGAACAUGGUUAUUAUGCCUCAGGGAAGAAAGGUUUACAAAGUGUUGAUUAACAGUCUCAAUUGUCAAAACUUCCAAUUCAACUCUAAAGAAUACAAUUUAAAAGAAUAUCUUCUAAUGAGGCGUGCAGUUGGGGAAGGAAGAAAGAAGAGGGGGACGGAGAGUGAAAAGGAAGAGGCACAUUUUCCUAAAAUUAAGAAUUUCAUAUUUUGCCUGGUACUCUGCUACAUUUUACAUAUCUGCUUUUUGAGGAAUAAAUACCAGAAAGAAGUGGCCUACAUAAAUCCAAAUGGCUUUAGACAUUUCAAGUACUGGAAAACAAGAUUAUAA